CCUCUCCUUCUUCCCACAGUUUAUGGGGUGGUUGAUAAUUCAUUAUAUCUUUUAAGAAGCUGUCUCAGCCCUACCUGAGAUCUGGGGGUGCUGCUGGGUUCAAGAAAGAGCUACUUACUUCAUACAGAAAAGGGUUGCCUUUUGAAUGCAACACCUUGGAUUACUUCACUUCAGGAGGUGAGUGGCCAUUUAUUGGUCAGGAAAAUGGGAGUGUCUUCAGAGAAAAAUGAAGAGUGGGAAAGAAACAAGACAGAGCAGCAUCACUCUUUUGCAGCUCUAGGAAUCUGGAGAAAACAAAAGACGGAGUACCUGCACUUUUAUUCAAUUGUAUAAUAUACACUGCUUGGUUUUGAAGCAUCCUUUACUUCUCUGUUUCCUUCUCUGUUUAUUUUUCUCUCAUCUUCAUCCAGAAUGUCUCCUCCUCUUCCCAGAGGACUUCAACUGAACCAAUUCUCUUUUCUGAUUUCAUUCUCCCUCCUCUCGCAUACUUAUUGUCCCAAAGUUCUUCCUUGCUUUCCUUUUGCUCAGGGAGAAUAUUUGUUGUAGCAUAAUGUGUGUGUUUGUAUUAGUAUUCCUGACAGAGGGAAUCUAACCUGAGCAAGGAUAAGUGAGUAAGUGAGUUUAGAACUUUACUGGAAAAAGAUUUUUCCUUUUCCUAAAAUUUUAGGAAAUACAUGGUGGGGAUAGGCAAAGUCUCAUACCUAGCUCACUACACCAUGCAGAGAAAGGAAGCUACCUAAGAUUAGCAAACUCCGAGGCAAAGAGCAGGCAAGGUGAGGGACAAAUCCCUCGCUCUCUGUGUACAUCCCAUUUCCCCUUGUGGUCAGUAGAUUGUGAGGCACUGAAGAGUCAAUCUCACUUCCGAGGAAAGAGCAUACGUUCCCAAUAGAAGAUCUUCUCUCUGUGCCCAAUUGUUUUCAAGUAAAACUUGAAGGUUAUGCCCGAGACCUUGGAGACCCAACAAGUAUAGAAAAGUAUAGAGGAGAUGGUUCAGUGCUUCUCCAUCUUUCUUGCAUUUCUUCUCUUUUCCAUUGUUGGAAGAUCUGUCCCCCAAGCCAGGAACUACAUAUAGAAUGUGAGAUAGGGACCAAGCUUGGUUCUGUCCCUUUGCCUUCUUUCCCUGGUAAACCCACCUUCUCCAGUGUGUGUGUGUGUGUGUGUGUGUGUGUGGAGAGAACCCUAAGAUGUACUGUCCUCUUUGCUGUCUAUAUGCAUGAAUACUGUGGAAUAAUAUUAAUCCAUGCCAACGAUUACUAUUAAUAAUUUUCACAAUUGCAUAAGAAACAAAAAUUAAACCAAAAUAUCACUGAACAUCUUAGAAGAAUCACAAAGUUGUCCUGCAGAUACUUUAUAGAAUGGGAAUGUGCUAUUUUUAGUAGGACUGAAAACAAAGUCAG